rnacentral:tRNA from 1 species
GGGGUCGUAGCCUAGCCUGGUAGGGCGACUGUGACGUAUAGUCACCGCUAAGGGCUCCAGAAGUAAAGACCCAAACUGAUUUCACAAGAUGAUGUGAGUUUGGAGCUGCAGUGACCCGUAGGUCGCCGGUUCAACUCCGGUCGGCCCCA